UAGGGAAUCUUCCACAAUGGACGAAAGUCUGAUGGAGCAACGCCGCGUGAGUGAAGAAGGGUUUCGGCUCGUAAAGCUCUGUUGUUAAAGAAGAACGUGGGUAAGAGUAACUGUUUACCCAGUGACGGUAUUUAACCAGAAAGCCACGGCUAACUACGUGCCA
rnacentral:rRNA from 1 species